GUGAGAGGGGAACUGAAGGUUCUGCUCAUUCACAGGAGUUGCCUAUAACAGUAGAUGACAGCCAGCCUGAGAAACUGGAGGGCAAAUCUAACUUAGAUAGGUUAAAAACUACUGAGAAAGAGGAAGUGAAUGUCUCUAAUGAAAAGCCAAACUGGCGGGAGAGUGAACCUAAGAAUGGCAACUGUCAUUCAAGAAAUACCCCAACUGAAAGUGGGAGGAUGGAUGUAGCCCAUUUACAUCCGCAUUCUUCUGGGAACACCUCUAAACAUUCAGCAUUGCCACCAACGCUAAGACAAAUGUCACCUGAAAAGCCCGUGCACACACACCAGUCUCCCGAAGGCCAUGGGCCGCUGUCAUCACAAGAAGGUUUCUUAGAGUCAUCUGAUCCACCUACAUCAUGUAGACCUAGAAAAUCUUCUUCACGUGAAAGGUCAAGUAGACACAAACGUAGACAAUCUUCAUCACCUAAAAGGUCUGAUCAGGCUAAAAAGGUCCCAUCUCGAGAUCAUUUGUCUUCCUCUACUAAGCAAACAUCUGCCUCUCCGCAUAGGUCUCAGUAUAAGGAUGGUUCUUCUCAAAAUCGCAGAUCCGCAUCACCAAAAUUCCGCAAAUCACCAAGAAAAUAUGGAAGACUGGAGAAAUCGGUGUCACGAUCACCCAUUAGGAAAAGGGAUUCCUCAUCUGGAUACAAGAGAGAUCGUCGCGGCAGGUCUCGAUCAAGUUCCCCGCAUGUGAGAGACCGUCACAAGUCCCCUAGGGUAAGGAAUUCUCCAAGGCAAAGAUCUCCUCCUGGAUAUCACUCCAGCCUUCGCUCUCCUCGUCAGAGACCCUAGGGUUCCUCCUCCUAAUAGGAGAACAGGAUUAGGGAAACCAGGAAACAAUUUAUUUGUUGCAGGAUUUAGCUUCUUGACCACAGAAAGAGAUCUGGAAAGGAAAUUUUCUAGGUUUGGCCGUGUACGAGAUGUUCGUAUUGUGCGUGAUAAGAGGUCAGGGGAUUCUCGUGGAUUUGGUUUUUUAUCAAUGGAAAAGGAUGAAGAUGCAGAUGCAGCAAUUAAAGCCCUUGAUGAGACUGAAUGGAAUGGUAGGAUUAUCCUUGUCGAGAAAUCAAAAUCUCAUUGAAGCAUCAAUUAUAAGACGCCCCUGUCUAGUCUGAAUAUGAUAAUUGCUCAACCUCAGUCAGCU
rnacentral:misc_RNA from 1 species